CGACCAACAACAACAACAACAACAUCAACGUCAGGAGAAAGACGGCGAGCGGAGAGCGAGGUGAAGCUACGUCCCUCGACUAUGUGUGCGUGAUGCUAACAGGAGCGCGGCGAAUGCGAAUGGCGCUAUUGGCUGAUUCGAUAACGGAGAGAAGACGCCGUCGCCGAAGCUUGUGGAGCAUCAGCUGUAAGAUGCCUGGGUGAGCUCAUGACGCUAACGUGCUCAGCCAGACACGCCUGUUAGCAGAAGAACCGAGAGAAAUCGCUCACUUCCUGUUGGGAAGCUGUGGAUCCCAACUGGUCAGUGGAAGCGGCCACACUGGCAUCGAACCUGCCACAGCCAGGUGGUCGUGCCAACAACCGUGGACAGAGGAUCAGAGCCGCCCUCAGAUUACCUGAGUGCAAACCUGCCCCGCGCAGACCUUUAGACGUCUUCAGGACACAACUGCCAGCUGGUCAUAGGUUUGUAAACACAAUUCUUGUACAGUUCAUGUGUGUUUCAUUCCACAAAUAAAGAAACUCACAGAGGUUUUAGUUAAGU